rnacentral:rRNA from 1 species
CAAGUCGACGAUCAGUAGCCGGACUGAGAGGUUGAACGGCCACAUUGGGGCUGAGACACGGCCCAGACUCCUACGGGAGGCAGCAGUGGGGAAUAUUGCACAAUGGGGGAAACCCUGAUGCAGCGAUGCCGCGUGGAGGAAGAAGGUUUUCGGAUUGUAAACUCCUGUCUUAAAGGACGAUAAUGACGGUACUUUAGGAGGAAGCUCCGGCUAACUACGUGCCAGCAGCCGCGGUAAUACGUAGGGAGCGAGCGUUGUCCGGAAUUACUGGGUGUAAAGGGAGCGUAGGCGGGACGGCAAGUCAGAUGUGAAAUACAUGGGCUCAACCCAUGGGCUGCAUUUGAAACUGCUGUUCUUGAGUGAAGUAGAGGUAAGCGGAAUUCCUGGUGUAGCGGUGAAAUGCGUAGAUAUCAGGAGGAACACCGGUGGCGAAGGCGGCUUACUGGGCUUUUACUGACGCUGAGGCUCGAAAGCGUGGGGAGCAAACAGGAUUAGAUACCCUGGUAGUCCACGCUGUAAACGAUGAUUACUAGGUGUGGGGGGACUGACCCCUUCCGUGCCGCAGUUAACACAAUAAGUAAUCCACCUGGGGAGUACGGCCGCAAGGUUGAAACUCAAAGGAAUUGACGGGGGCCCGCACAAGCAGUGGAGUAUGUGUUUAAUUCGAAGCAACGCGGAGAACCUUACCAGGUCUUGACAUCGAGUGCAUAACUAAGAGAUUAGUGAAAUCCCUUCGGGGACACUUAGACAGGUGGUGCAUGGUUGUCGUCAGCUCGUGUCGUGAGAUGUUGGGUUAAGUCCCGCAACGAGCGCAACCCUUACCUUUAGUUGCUACGCAAGAGCACUCUAAAGGGACUGCCGUUGACAAAACGGAGGAAGGUGGGGAUGACGUCAAAUCAUCAUGCCCCUUAUGACCUGGGCUACACACGUACUACAAUGGCAAUCAACAAAGAGAAGCAAGACAGUGAUGUGGAGCAAAUCUCAAAAAAUUGUCCCAGUUCAGAUUGUAGGCUGCAACUCGCCUACAUGAAGUCGGAAUUGCUAGUAAUCGCGGAUCAGAAUGCCGCGGUGAAUACGUUCCCGGGUCUUGUACACACCGCCCGUCACACCAUGGGAGUCGGUAACACCCGAAGUCGGUAGUCUAACAGCAAUGAGGACGCCGCCGAAGGUGGGAUUGAUGACUGGGGUGAAGUCGUAACAAGGUAGCCGUACUAGUACGUGCCCUUA